CCCAGACUCCUACGGGAGGCAGCAGUGGGGAAUAUUGCACAAUGGGGGGAACCCUGAUGCAGCGAUGCCGCGUGGAGGAAGAAGGUUUUCGGAUUGUAAACUCCUUUUAUCAGGGACGAUAAUGACGGUACCUGAAGAAAAAGCGCCGGCUAACUCCGUGCCAGCAGCCGCGGUAAUACGGAGGGCGCGAGCGUUAAUCGGAAUUACUGGGCGUAAAGCGCGCGUAGGCUGUUGUGUAAGUUGGGGGUGAAAUCCCACGGCUCAACCGUGGAACAGCCCUUGAUACUGCGCGACUUGAAUCCGGGAGAGGGUGGCGGAAUUCCAGGUGUAGGAGUGAAAUCCGUAGAUAUCUGGAGGAACAUCAGUGGCGAAGGCGGCCACCUGGACCGGUAUUGACGCUGAGGCGCGAAAGCGUGGGGAGCAAACAGGAUUAGAUACCCCCGUA
rnacentral:rRNA from 1 species